rnacentral:rRNA from 1 species
AAGACAGAGCCGGGAAUGAGAAAACCGGUGCAAGCACAAUAGAUGUGUGGGAGGAAAAACCCCCGCAUAAGUCGAAGGUGUGACGCGGACCGAAAAAGAGUAGGGAAGCUGUUAAGCAAGCCGUCAAGAAAAGCUGCUAUUGUUUCAUUAUGGCCCGUACCGUAAACCGACACAGGUGGAUGGGGAGAGAAUCCUAAGGCCGGCGGAAGAAGUAUUGUUAAGGAACUCGGCAAAAUGACCCCGUAACUUCGGGAGAAGGGGUGCCUGCGAGAGCAGGCCGCAGAGAAGAGGCCCAAGCAACUGUUUAGCAAAAACACAGGUCUAUGCAAAACCGAAAGGUGAGGUAUAUGGGCUGACGCCUGCCCGGUGCUGGAAGGUUAAGGGGAGUGGUCAGGAAACGAAGCCACGAACUUAAGCCCCAGUAAACGGCGGCCGUAACUAUAACGGUCCUAAGGUAGCGAAAUUCCUUGUCGGGUAAGUUCCGACCCGCACGAAAGGCGUAAUGAUUUGGGCGCUGUCUCGACAAUACAUCCGGUGAAAUUGAAGUGCCAGUGAAGAUGCUGGCUACCUGCGCCAGGACGGAAAGACCCCAUGGAGCUUUACUCCAGCUUGAUACUGGGACCCGGUAUUGCAUGUACAGGAUAGGUGGGAGGCUAGGAAAUGUGGACGCCAGUCUGCAUGGAGCCGCUGUUGGGAUACCACCCUUGUGGUGCUGGGUUUCUAACCAGAGGCCGUGAACCGGUCUGGGGACAAUGUCAGGUGGGGAGUUUGACUGGGGCGGUCGCCUCCGAAAGGGUAUCGGAGGCGCCCAAAGGUUCCCUCAGAAUGGUUGGAAACCAUUCGAAGAGUGCAAAGGCAGAGGGGAGCUUGACUGCGACACCGACGGGUGGAGCAGGUACGAAAGUAGGGCUUAGUGAUCCGGUGGAAUUUAAGUGGGAAUGCCAUCGCUCAACGGAUAAAAGCUACCCUGGGAUAACAGGCUGAUCACUCCCAAGAGUUCACAUCGACGGAGUGGUUUGGCACCUCGAUGUCGGCUCAUCGCAUCCUGGGGCUGAAGUCGGUCCCAAGGGUUGGGCUGUUCGCCCAUUAAAGCGGUACGCGAGCUGGGUUCAGAACGUCGUGAGACAGUUCGGUCCCUAUCCGGCGUGGGCGUAGGAUAUCUGAGAGGAGCUGUCCUUAGUACGAGAGGACCGGGAUGGACUGACCUCUGGUGUACCGGUUGGCGAUCAACGCCACGGCCGGGUAGCCAUGUCGGGACGGGAUAAACGCUGAAGGCAUCUAAGCGUGAAGCCCCCCUCAAGAUGAGAUAUCCCAUCGUAAGAGUAAGACCCCUUGAAGACGACGAGGUUGAUAGGGCAGGGGUGGAAGUGCCGUAAGGCAUGGAGCUGACUGCUACUAAUCGGUCGAGGGCUUGACCGA